CACCGAACCAGGGGGUGUUCACUAAGUGAAUUAACAAUAAUUUAUUUAGUGAACUGAGAUGCAAGCUUCGCAGCAAACCCUUUGAACCUGAACCGGAUAAUACCGGCGUAGGAAUGGUAAAAUCUGCUUAU
rnacentral:ncRNA from 2 species